rnacentral:rRNA from 1 species
GGAUUGAACGCUGGCGGCAGGCCUAACACAUGCGAGUCGAGCGGCAGCGCGGGUACUUGUACCUGGUGGCGAGCGGCGGACGGGUGAGUAAUGCCUAGGAAUCUGCCUGGUAGUGGGGGAUAACGGCUCGGGAAACGGACGCUAAUACCGCAUACGUCCUACGGGAGAAAGCGAGGGGACCUUCGGGCCUUGCGCUAUCAGAUGAGCCUAGGUCGGAUUAGCUAGUUGGUGAGUAAUGGCUCGACCAAGGCGACGAUCCGUAAUGGUCUGAGAGGAUGGUCAGUCACACUGGGAACUGGA